rnacentral:rRNA from 1 species
UACGUAGGCAGCAAGCGUUGUUCGGAGUUACUGGCGUAAAGGGUGUGUAGGCGGUUGCUUAAGUUUGGUGUGAAAUCUCCCGGCUCAACUAGGAGGGUGCGCCGAAUACUGAGUGACUCGAGUGCGGGAGAGGAAAGUGGAAUUCCUGGUGUAGCGGUGAAAUGCGUAGAUAUCAGGAGGAACACCGGUGGUGUAAACGGCUUUCUGGACCAUAACUGACGCUGAGGCACGAAAGCGUGGGUAGCAAACAGG